UGCAGAAGCCAUUCCCACCCUGGGCUACGAUCUCAUCAGAUCUCAUAAGUGAAACGGGGCCAGGUCUGGCUGGGACCAUGGGAGAUGCCUCCGAGGGAACCCCAGAUGCUUCAGGAA
rfam:Fulmarus glacialis contig79293, whole genome shotgun sequence.